GCUUUUCUCCUCAGCGCCUGACUUUGACAAAUAUUUAUCCCUCUAAGCAGAUCUACCUGACCAGCGUUUUGAAAUAUCGACUGGACAUAAAGCGCAUUAUGGCGGGCAAGGUGAGCGGUGGCGAGGAAAGGGAGGGGAGAGGGAUUCCUACACCGACAAUAUGACUUUCGUGGAGUACACGCUAUGUUAGUCCUGCCUCCAGUCUUCCAAUUCUGACGAAACCACAAGGAUUUGCAGCCAUUUUUGAACUGGCCGGCAAAAAAAACACCGACUUUUUGGAAAGUUCUAGAUGACAAAAAAGUGUCUUUUUUUUUUACACCGGAAGACCUCUUUAGCUCUAUGUGGAACGGGUUAUGACUGAGCUGAACUCGAGAAUGUGGAGCAUGCAGCACAUGCACAGACCAUCACAGCGUGCACAAAUAAGCACUGGCUGUAAUUAUCCGUUUUUAAAACACAAGUUUGCACUUGAACACAAGAAGAAAAUGAACCAUCAAUCUCACUAAAUGAUUUUUGUAAUAUUCUUCCAAAUCAGUCUCAGAAUAAAUCAUUUCGAAAUUUA